GGGCGCAAGCCUGAUGCAGCGACGCCGCGUGAGGGAUGGAGGCCUUCGGGUUGUAAACCUCUUUUAUCGGGGAGCAAGCGUGAGUGAGUUUACCCGUUGAAUAAGCACCGGCUAACUACGUGCCAGCAGCCGCGGUAAUACGUAGGGUGCAAGCGUUAUCCGGAAUUAUUGGGCGUAAAGGGCUCGUAGGCGGUUCGUCGCGUCCGGUGUGAAAGUCCAUCGCUUAACGGUGGAUCCGCGCCGGGUACGGGCGGGCAUGAGUGCGGUAGGGGAGACUGGAAUUCCCGGUGUAACGGUGGAAUGUGUAGAUAUCGGGAAGAACACC
rnacentral:rRNA from 1 species